rnacentral:rRNA from 1 species
ACUCCUACGGGGAGGCAGCAGUGAGGAAUGAUUGGACAAUGGGCGGGGAGCCUGAUCCAGCCAUGCCGCGUGCAGGAAGACUGCCCUAUGGGGUUGAUAAACUGCUUUUUGUACAGGAAGAAACACUCCCUCGUGAGGGGAGCUUGACGGUACUGUAAGAAUAAGGAUCGGCUAACUCCGUGCCAGCAGCCGCGGUAAUACGGAGGAUCCAAGCGUUAUCCGGAAUCAUUGGGUUUAAAGGGUCCGUAGGUGGAUGAUU